CCUACGGGAGGCAGCAGUGAGGAAUAUUGGACAAUGGGCGCAAGCCUGAUCCAGCCAUGCCGCGUGCAGGAAGAAGCAUCUAUGGUGUGUAAACUGCUUUUGUACAGGAAGAAACACUCCCUCGUGAGGGAGCUUGACGGUACUGUAAGAAUAAGGACCGGCUAACUCCGUGCCAGCAGCCGCGGUAAUACGGAGGGUCCGAGCGUUAUCCGGAAUCAUUGGGUUUAAAGGGUCCGUAGGCGGUUUAAUAAGUCAGUGGUGAAAUCUGGUCGCUCAACGAUCAAACGGCCAUUGAUACUGUUAGACUUGAAUUAUAAGGAAGUAACUAGAAUAUGUAGUGUAGCGGUGAAAUGCUUAGAUAUUACAUGGAAUACCAAUUGCGAAGGCGGGUUACUACUUAUGGAUUGACGCUGAUGGACGAAAGCGUGGGGAGCGAACAGGAUUAGAUACCCUGGUAGUCCACGCCGUAAACGAUGGAUACUAGCUGUUCGGAGCAAUCUGAGUGGCUAAGCGAAAAGUGAUAAGUAUCCCACCUGGGGAGUACGUUCGCAAGAAUGAAACUCAAAGGAAUUGACGGCUGAGAGAGACGAGAGACGACGAGGGAGGAGG
rnacentral:rRNA from 1 species